rnacentral:rRNA from 1 species
UGGGGAAUUUUGGACAAUGGGCGAAAGCCUGAUCCAGCAAUGCCGCGUGCAGGAAGAAGGCCUUCGGGUUGUAAACUGCUUUUGUACGGAACGAAAAGGCUCUUUCUAAUAAAGGGGGCUCAUGACGGUACCGUAAGAAUAAGCACCGGCUAACUACGUGCCAGCAGCCGCGGUAAUACGUAGGGUGCGAGCGUUAAUCGGAAUUACUGGGCGUAAAGCGUGCGCAGGCGGUUCUAUAAGACAGAUGUGAAAUCCCCGGGCUCAACCUGGGAAUGGCAUUUGUGACUGUAGAGCUAGAGUACGGUAGAGGGGGAUGGAAUUCCGCGUGUAGCAGUGAAAUGCGUAGAUAUGCGGAGGAACACCGAUGGCGAAGGCAAUCCCCUGGACCUGUACUGACGCUCAUGCACGAAAGCGUGGGGAGCAAACAGGAUUAGAUACCCCGGUAGUCCCUGAGCGGGCUGGCAAGGCGCAU